rnacentral:miRNA from 1 species
UCUGCAGUAGAUACACACUG